AAAAACAAAACAAACAAAACCAAGCUGCUGCUCUCGGCGCAGCCCCGGGAGUCUCGAUUCUUCUGGAGGCGUUCUCAAAUCCGUCGGUGUUCUGGCAGAUUCAGUGAUAUUUUUGCAGAUCCGGUGAUACGUAUGGUACCUAUAGACAUCUAUAGAGCUCUUGCAUGAGGGAGCUUAUCAGCGCGGCUGGCAAAACCGAAAGUGCUCAUGAAUCGAUUUCAACGAUCUUUCGCGAUUAAUGACCAUCCUAAAAGUGGAUACCCCCUAAGCAAAGAAUGCCACGUAUGGAUUUCCUUGCCUUGCUAGUCAGCAAGUAGCGGUCAAUAGUGAUCAAAUGGCAUGAUCAACAGCUAUCCGUUGGAUAACCUGGUCAGAGUGACGAAACACCGGUCGAACCAGAUUAACACGGGGUCUGCUACAGUGUCUUGCGUCCCAUCAAGAAAGAUGAAUGUGUAUGUGUCUAACUCGAUGAUACUUUCGGACCUAGCAGCCUUCGGCAUGCUCUCUCUUUGUAGUUUAGUAUCUUUGUCUAGCAAUAGGCGAAGGAAGCCCCUAAGGGAUUCCGUAUAUAAUAUACCCUUUCCCAACGGAAUCCUUCAGCGAAUUACAAUAAAAUUCAAAUAAGAUCCUCAAAAAAA